GAAACCGCAUGAUAUGCAAAAUUAGACUUUGCUAAAUAAAUUACUUAGUUAAAACAAUGCAUGCAUUCUACGUGUAUGCUCAAAUUAUCCUUCGCCCGUCACAAAGAAAUAUAUGCAUAAAGUCCACAUAUUUUUCUGAUUUAAUUCUUCGCCACGUAAUCUGCCCAGAAUAAUUCCCGCCUACGGCUCAAGCGUACAAUUAACUAAAGUAGUCCACUAAAGAAUUUAUUUAGUAUACCAACAAAACUAAAUAAACUAAAUGAAAAGAUAUAUACUCCCAAAACUAGAACACACAUACAUAUAUGUAUUCCUAACCUUAAAGUCUUACAUGCUGAAUCUAAAUUGGUUCCAUUAUUAAUCUCUUUCCUCAAAUAAAUUCCAACUAGCUCAUAGCAAAAUAAUGGCCGAACAAAAAUAUUAACAUUGCCCAACAAGGCAAAUAACUAAAUAAACGAAUUUAAAAACAUAUACUCCCAGCCACAAAUUCCUUUUUCUCAAAAUUAGUCCAAGAUAAGAAUGUCAUAAUUAAACAAAAAUUAAAGAGGGAAAAAGAGCCCGUAACAUAAAAUACUCCCACAUCACACGUCUCUACCCUCUAGCUCUAGGAAUCAAUUCUACUCUCUCUAGUUCUCAAAGAACAAAACAAUGCUCCCUAUUUAUUAAAUUACUCCACCACCUACACGUCUCUCUCUCUCUCUCAAAUUUUAUCUCAAAACAACAACUUCCUCACUCUCUAAAAUUCACCAAAAUAUUAGAAACAGAGUUCCCAUCUUCUUCCUCUCCUUCAAUCUCACUCUCCCUUUCUCUCUGUCAUCUUCUACGAUUCACCAAGACAGAAACGAUCCCAACUCUCCUAUCUCCUUCUUCACUCCCUCGCAACAACAAGGAACCACAAUCGGAUAUCUCUUCGGUCAAUGUCGCAGCGCCGCUACUCCCAACGAAAUAAGAUUGGAAGAGAAAACAAGAGAACAAGCUCUAAUGAUAUUAAAGUUUGCAACUUUAUCAUUCAAAAUUUCCAGAAAUUCAACAAGUCUAAGUUUGAUUUCGUGAACUAUUAUGAGGAAUUGAAUGCAGAUACUACCAGGGACUACACAUAUACCUUCCAGAAGAGACAAAACUUGCAGAAGAUGAGGUAUUAACAAAAUCGUGCUCUCUCGAUUUCUCCUUCACCCUUCACGGAAGAGAAGAAAACUACAAUGGAAUGGCGUUGAAAAUUGGCUAAGAUUGUGGGAAGAGAUAUAUAAUAAAUUAUGUGGAGAUUUGGUUUGUUGGAGAGAUUUUAGGGAGUGGAGAUAUGGGCAAAUCGUUUGGUAAUGGGAUUUGGGAGAAAUAUAUUUGACCAAAAUUUGACUGCU